rnacentral:rRNA from 1 species
UGCAAGUCGUGCGGACCUUUUAAAAGCUUGCUUUUAAAAGGUUAGCGGCGGACGGGUGAGUAACACGUGGGCAACCUGCCUGUAAGACUGGGAUAACGCCGGGAAACCGGGGCUAAUACCGGAUAGUUUUUUCCUCCGCAUGGAGGAAAAAGGAAAGGCGGCUUCGGCUGCCACUUACAGAUGGGCCCGCGGCGCAUUAGCUAGUUGGCGGGGUAACGGCCCACCAAGGCAACGAUGCGUAGCCGACCUGAGAGGGUGAUCGGCCACAUUGGGACUGAGACACGGCCCAAACUCCUACGGGAGGCAGCAGUAGGGAAUCUUCCGCAAUGGACGAAAGUCUGACGGAGCAACGCCGCGUGAGUGAAGAAGGCCUUCGGGUCGUAAAACUCUGUUGCCGGGGAAGAACAAGUGCCGUUCAAACAGGGCGGCGCCUUGACGGUACCCGGCCAGAAAGCCACGGCUAACUAC